CCUACGGGUGGCAGCAGUAGGGAAUCUUCCACAAUGGACGAAAGUCUGAUGGAGCAACGCCGCGUGAGUGAAGAAGGGUUUCGGCUCGUAAAGCUCUGUUGGUAGUGAAGAAAGAUAGAGGUAGUAACUGGCCUUUAUUUGACGGUAAUUACUUAGAAAGUCACGGCUAACUACGUGCCAGCAGCCGCGGUAAUACGUAGGUGGCAAGCGUUGUCCGGAUUUAUUGGGCGUAAAGCGAGUGCAGGCGGUUCAAUAAGUCUGAUGUGAAAGCCUUCGGCUCAACCGGAGAAUUGCAUCAGAAACUGUUGAACUUGAGUGCAGAAGAGGAGAGUGGAACUCCAUGUGUAGCGGUGGAAUGCGUAGAUAUAUGGAAGAACACCGAUUGCGAAGGCAUCUCACGAAUCCGCGAUUGACGCUGAUGCACGAAAGCGUGGGUAUCAAACAGGAUUAGAUACCCGGGUAGUC
rnacentral:rRNA from 1 species